UAUUUUAAUGGCCGCGGUAUUCUGACCGUGCAAAGGUAGCAUAAUCAUUAGUCUAUUAAUUUUGGACUUGUAUGAAUGGUUGGACGAAAUAUUUACUGUCUCAUAUUUUUUGUAUAAAAUUUAAAUUUUUAGUCAGAAUGCUUAAAUUUAAUUAUUGGACGAGAAGACCCUAUAGAUCUUCAUUUAUUUUUAAUUUUUUAUAUUUAGUUUAUAUUAGUUUAAAAUUUUAUAUUUAAGUUUUAUUGGGGUGAUAUGGAGAUAUAAUUUAACUCUUUAUUUUUAUUUUUAUCAAUUAUUUUUGUAUAUUUGACCUUUUAUUAGUGUUAUAAGAUUUAGAUACCUUAGGGAUAACAGCGUUAUUUUUUUUGAGAGUUCUUAUUGACAAUAAAGAUUGCGACCUCGAUGUUGGAUUAAGAUUAUAUUUAGGUGUAGUUGCUUAAAUUUAUAGGUCUGUUCGACCUUUAAAAUCUUACAUGAUCUGAGUUCAAAACCGGAG
rnacentral:rRNA from 1 species